rnacentral:ncRNA from 1 species
CAAUAGAGGCGCGGUGGACAGGGUACUGCAUCUUUGGGGAUAGGCCCCCGGAAAGGAUGCGGGAAGGGGUCCGCCGCCGAAGGGAUCACACGAGCCUGUGCGGGCGAUUCCUGGCAGCGCGGUGUAAGCGGCGCUGCUGUCAUGUAGUGAUACAUGGAGCGCUAUUGGU